GGGUGGGCUGGGGUUGGGUUUGAAGAUCUUAGAUGUCUUUCCCAGCCUGAAUGACUCUGUAAUUCUAUAAUUCUAUGCAAGCCAUUGCAGCAGCUCUCCAAAAACUGUCGUUUGAACCAGAAAAUCCUCUCUUUCUAUUCUGAGGGACGUCUAGCUGUGACAUGAGAGAUGAGACACCAUCCCCUGAAGCUCUGGGACCUGCUCCAGCCCAGGGUGCAUUCACCAGGUGCCUCUCGUGCUGGUUUGGCUCCCACUGUAACACCAGGAAAUGUGCUGCACAGACAUCCAUCAGCUGCACGUCGGUGUGCUGUCAGUCACUGUGAUUUAUUUAGACUUUCAGUGCUGAACUGAUUAAAUUGCACAUUCAGUGAAAGCGAGAGUUUCACUCCUAGCACCGACUGAAAUUAUUGCAUCUGUCCAAAGACACCAGCAAAGGUUAACAGUGUCUGUUUACAUUCCUCAUAAAGAAAAUCUUGUUAAACUCCAUCUCACAUAUUUUACAGCCGUGCUAAGAGCCCCAGAAGAAUUGUUGUCAGGAGGAAUGGUUUUAAUCUAUUUAUCUAAUUUUAUGCAGCUGGAGUGUAUGCUGCUUAAUUGGGGAGUUAGCAGGAAUUCUAUGUUGUGACACAAAGAGCUUCUUGUGCAAACACAGGGAGCUUUGGUGGGUGAUCUUUCCUUGCUGUCUUGCUGGAAAGGUCAGUGACUGUGGGACGUGCAGCACUACAGACCAAAUGACUGCAGCCUUGCACACUGGAAUGUGAGAUCAUUUGUCUUUUUCCACUUAACUUUUGUGCCUUGCUCUGGCCCUGCCUGUUGUUUUUCCUGCCCGCCCCUAUUUUUAAAGGACUACACAAAAGCUGAUUUUAAUCCACGAUAGCGAUUGUGUGUUGAUCAGUUCCCAUCUGCUCCUCUCCAAAGUCAAGUUUCUACAGGCCUUGGGUUGAUCCGAGUGAUGGAGCUGCUUUCACCCCCAUGGCCAUCCCUGUCCUAAAUGGUACCUCCAUUUACACUUCUGUUUGAGACACAUACCUAUGGAAAGUGGCCUAUAAAACUUGGAGAAGUCUGAACCAGACAGUGAAAGACCCCCUGCAGAAUUUCUCUGCCUUGUGAUCUGGGCUUUGCCUCCGUGCUUCACCAGGAGGAAGCCAGCUGUCUGCUGGUAGCUCUGCUCCCAUGCAGGAGGUCUUCUCAUCAAAAGACUGUGUGAAGAGGCCCUCUGAUGAAAACCACCCCCAGGUGAAGCCUGAUGCCUAUGUGAACAACCUGGCCGAAGCGGUGGACACGAUCCUCAGCCAGAUGUAGGAGCAACGGUUCUGCAGAGAGCUAAGGGACAAGGAUGGUGCCUUGCACAUGGCAUGGCCACCAGCUGCUCAGUCCUCUGUCUCCCUGGUGUGCAGAACACCCAUACUUCUGAACUGUUCACCCAAGGUACUAAACCAAGACUAACCUCAACAGAGAGAACACCAAACCCUAUGUGUGCAUUUUGAGCUUCCUUCCUCUCGGUGCCAUCCAAGUGCCAGCACAGCCCUUCAAGGAUGAGGAUGUUUCUGAGGGCAUGGAGAGCAGUCAUGCCCUGUGGAGUUUGUCUGGGUACCGGUGUGCCUCCAUAGUGCAUUGGUGGGCAUCCUGUGGGCAUCCCAAAAACCAUGUGGGACUGUCAGAGCACACUGGGCAAGGCUGUGGUUGUGUUUUCAUCCUGGUUUCCAGCACCUCUCUGGCACUGCCUGGAGUCAGAGGGCAGGAAUUCAGGAACGCUAUGACAAAUGACAGAAUAAUUGUGUCGUCAUGUCAUUAAUAAACACAGUCCUGCGAAUCUAA